GAUGAACGCUGGCGGCGUGCCUAAUACAUGCAAGUCGAGCGAACGGACGAGAAGCUUGCUUCUCUGAUGUUAGCGGCGGACGGGUGAGUAACACGUGGAUAACCUACCUAUAAGACUGGGAUAACUUCGGGAAACCGGAGCUAAUACCGGAUAAUAUUUUGAACCGCAUGGUUCAAAAGUGAAAGACGGUCUUGCUGUCACUUAUAGAUGGAUCCGCGCUGCAUUAGCUAGUUGGUAAGGUAACGGCUUACCAAGGCAACGAUGCAUAGCCGACCUGAGAGGGGUGUGGGCCCAAGGGAGACUGACACAGCGCCCACACACCUCAGGGAGGCAAAACUGGGAACUCUUCCGCAAUGGGGCAAAGCCUGAGAGAGAAACGCCGCGGGAGUAGUGAAGGUUUUGGGAUCGUAAAACUGUUUUAUUGGGAAAAAAAAUAUUGUAAAGAAAUUGGCCACCCAUGGAGGUUCCAUAAUAAGAAACCCACGCCUACCUCCGCC
rnacentral:rRNA from 1 species